CACGUAGGGGGCAAGCGUUGUCCGGAAUCAUUGGGCGUAAAGAGCUCGUAGGCGGCUCAGUAAGUCGGGUGUGAAACCUCCAGGCUCAACCUGGAGACGCCACCCGAUACUGCUGUGGCUAGAGUCCAGUAGGGGAGUGUGGAAUUCCCGGUGUAGCGGUGAAAUGCGCAGAUAUCGGGAGGAACACCAGCGGCGAAGGCGGCACUCUGGGCUGGUACUGACGCUGAGGAGCGAAAGCGUGGGUAGAAACAGG
rnacentral:rRNA from 1 species